AGGUACCGUCACUCCCACCGGGUAUUAACCGGCCGGACAUUCUUCCUCAUGACAGGAGUUUACAACCCGAAGGCAGUCAUCCUCCACGCGGCGUCGCAUCGUCACACUUUUCGUGCAUUGCGAAUGAUUCUCG
rnacentral:rRNA from 1 species